rnacentral:lncRNA from 1 species
AAUGCCUAACGCCAGGAGGGAGAGACAAAGGGGCCUCUUCUUUAACACUGUGAAUAGCCCCAGAGUGAAUACAGCCUUCGACAGCUGUGGUUUCAUUCUCAUCACCGCUGGGCGAGUUGGGGGUGCUAAUUGUGAAGCUGGAGAGCUGUUAAAAUCAGACCAGAUUUGUUAAAGGAGAGGAGUAAGAUGAUACUUCAGACCAGUAUCUGCAGUGGCACAGGCACAAAAGCCCUAUCUCAGGAGAAGGAAUGAAAGGAAGGCAAAAAGGCCGUGAGAAAAUGAAAGAAGCUGGUUGAUUGACCCCUCCUCUGUGUCGCCUCAGCAACUUGUCCAUAUCAUUGUUACAGCACUUACCACACAGUUGUAAGACGGUACUGCAAGCUUACUUUCCAACGUGGCUGCAUCGUUUCACAUUCCCACCAGCAGUAUGAGGUUUCCAAUUUCUCUGCAUCCUCAUCAAAACUUGUUAUUAUCUGUCUUUUUUAUUUUAGA